GGAGGAAAGCAGGGGAUCGUAAGACCUUGCGUUAAUGGAGCGGCCGAUAUCUGAUUAGCUAGUUGGUGAGGUAAAGGCUCACCAAGGCGACGAUCAGUAGCUGGUUUGAGAGAACGACCAGCCACACUGGAACUGAGACACGGUCCAGACUCCUACGGGAGGCAGCAGUGGGGAAUUUUGGACAAUGGGGGCAACCCUGAUCAGCCAUUCCGCGUGAGUGAAGAAGGCCUUCGGGUUGUAAAGCUCUUUCGCAAGGGAAGAAAACUUAUGAUCGAAUAAAUCAUGAGGUUGACGGUACCUUGAUAAGAAGCACCGGCUGACUACGUGCCAGCAGCCGCGGUAAUACGCAGGGUGCGAGCGUUAAUCGGAAUUACUGGGCGUAAAGCGUGCGCAGGCGGUUUUGUAAGUCGGAUGUGGAAUCCCCGGGCUCAACCUGGGAACUGCGUUUGAAACUACAAGGCUAGA
rnacentral:rRNA from 1 species